UACAGAGGGGGCAAGCGUUGUUCGGAAUUACUGGGCGUAAAGGGCGCGUAGGCGGCCUGUUAAGUCGAACGUGAAAUCCCCGGGCUCAACCCGGGAACUGCGUCCGAUACUGGCAGGCUUGAAUCCGGGAGAGGGAUGCGGAAUUCCACGUGUAGCAGUGAAAUGCGUAGAGAUGUGGAGGAAUACCGAUGGCGAAGGCAGCCCCUGGGAUAACACGUCGACGCUCGAUG
rnacentral:rRNA from 1 species